UACGGGGGAUGCAAGCGUUAUCCGGAUUUAUUGGGUUUAAAGGGUGCGUAGGCUGUGAGGUAAGUCAGCGGUGAAAUGCCCCCGCUCAACGGGGUGAAGUGCCAUUGAUACUGCCUUGCUGGAAUGCGGAUGCCGUGGGAGGAAUGUGUGGUGUAGCGGUGAAAUGCAUAGAUAUCACACAGAACACCGAUUGCGAAGGCAUCUCACGAAUCCGCGAUUGACGCUGAUGCACGAAAGCGUGGGUAUCCAACAGG
rnacentral:rRNA from 1 species